GACGAACGCUGGCGGCGUGCUUAACACAUGCAAGUCGAACGCUGAAGUUUGGUGCUUGCACUUGGUGGAUGAGUGGCGAACGGGUGAGUAAUACGUGAGUAACCUGCCUUUGAGUCUGGGAUAAGCCUGGGAAACUGGGUCUAAUACUGGAUACGAUAUGUCACCGCAUGGUGGUGUGUGGAAAGGGGUUUACUGGUUUUGGAUGGGCUCACGGCCUAUCAGCUUGUUGGUUGGGUAAUGGCUCACCAAGGCGACGACGGGUAGCCGGCCUGAGAGGGUGACCGGCCACACUGGGACUGAGACACGGCCCAGACUCCUACGGGAGGCAGCAGUGGGGAAUAUUGCACAAUGGGCGGAAGCCUGAUGCAGCGACGCCGCGUGAGGGAUGACGGCCUUCGGGUUGUAAACCUCUUUCAGCACGGAAGAAGCGAAAGUGACGGUACGUGCAGAAGAAGCGCCGGCUAACUACGUG
rnacentral:rRNA from 1 species